AACCAUAGAAACCUGCGGAGUACCUGCGGAGGGAUCAUUACCGAGUUAGGGUCUUCUCAGGCCCGAUCUCUCAACCCUAUGUUUACUAAACCUAUGUUGCUUCGGCGGGCCCGUCUCACGACCGCCGGGGGACCGUAAGACGUCCUCUGGCCCGCGUUCGCCGGUGGCCUAAACUUGAUACAUUCUGAUUAAAUCGUGUCACUGUCUGAGUACAAUUCUUAAAUUAAAGCAAAACUUUCA
rnacentral:misc_RNA from 1 species